UUCCAGAUUUGUGAUAUUAUGUUCAUCGUUUCUUCAGUCGUGACACGUACUUCAGAGUUCACAAGGCAACAGGAAAAAAAAAAUGUUCAUGAAGGAAGAAAACCAAGUGAAUAACCCAGGAAAGUUGGUGAACUGUGACAUGUGUUGGACUCAUGUGAGCCAUGAAUAUGUGCAGGGGAUACAUGUACAGGUUUGUCACAUGGGUAAAUUGCAUGUCACUGGGAUUUUGUGUACAAUUUUUUCAUCACCCGGGUACUGAACAUAAUACCUGGUGCUGUUUCACAGAGAGUUUUUAAAUUGUAGACUUUUUGGGUGGGGAUUUGAUUAUUUUGUUUUAGUUUCUAUUUCCUUGCAUUGUGAUCAGAGAAUAUUAUUAAUCUUGUUUUUAUGUUAUCAAGACCUGAAAUUGUGGAACAGAAGAUAAAAGCCAUGUUCCCUAUGCCACGUUUAAAUUACCUUGCCCACAGAAUUUGCAAGUAUAAUAAAAUUAUUGUUUUACAUCAAUA